rnacentral:lncRNA from 1 species
AGGGACCUAGUAUGCUCCCGAGCUGCCGCAAGGUUGCCCCUAGCAUCACUGGUUGCAGAUAGAUUCUCCUCCAGGCGUGCCUCCUCAAUUCGGCGAUCUACAGAUUCCCGGAGAGAGUGGUCGCGAGCAUCCACCUCCAUAAAGAGGCCCAUCACCUGAUACAAAAAGACAACCAUCAAGAUAAAGAAUUCAAGAAAGCUAAAGCGAAAAUAAAAAGGGGAGUAACUUACCAUCAAGAGCAUUUCCCUGAUUGUGUCUCCAAGCUCCCCUCGAGGUCGAGACCGGAA